CCCCUUUCCAUGGCAACACCCUGAUGGCCGAAAGUUACUACCCUUAUUCCAGAAAUCUCUGCAUAAUCUGUCGGUUUGCAUAUAAUUAACAGUGGCUAUAAAUGUGAGUGCAGCCCUGUCCUGUCCUCAGCUGCUGCCCUGGGCGCACUGCCUUGCGGGUCACUGUGGCUGCUCCUGUGCUUCAGCGGGACUAGAAGCUGCCGCCCACGGGCAGCGGGGAAGAAAUCUGGGCAAAGCCAUGAGCCCUCCGAGGCUGAGCUCCAGUUUAGGGGCUCACCUGCCUUGCAUCGUUCCGAGUCCUGUACUGGACUGCAUCAGGCCGCGUCUCCUCAGGGUGACAGAAACCAGGCAGUGAUUCAACUCGUAUUUGACUUUCACAUUCUCCAGCAAUGUUCUUCAAUCUGGGAAGGGUAGAAAAUUAAAGAAAGGUAAGGAGAGUUAAAAAAUGAGAUCAUUUCAAAGUAGAUGCAGUCUUGAAGCCCAAAUGAAUUACGAGAUCCAGUUUGAAAGCUGCUGCAGAAGUGAUUUCAGAAUCGCGCGGUGGCUCCGGAAUGGGGAACUGCUGCUGAAAGAGGUCGGAAAGGGUGGGGACUGAAUUUCGGGUAAGAGGACGCCAGUGGUUCUGGAGCACGCGGCCUUCAGCCAUGCCUGCGUUCACAAGUACAUUAUUUCAGACUCACUCCAAGUUUACAUCUCUAAGCCCAUCCAAGCCAUGGCAGCGCGAACCUCUCCCUCCCCCAGCUCAAGGCCUCUGGGCCCCCAGGACAGAGGACAGAAGAGCCAGCCCCUCCUGGCUCAGGGUUGCCGGGACCCCGUGAUGGCUGCUGUGCCUCUCCUGAGGUGCCAGGUGAGAGCUGAGACUUCUGCUCCCGCUGCACCAGCUCCGUUUGUCUCCAGGCGCAGUGUCAGUCUCGUUCUUUAAGCGCUUCUGAGGUCCCAUCAGCACAGGUCUCGUCUUACCUGGAAAGGCUUGUUGCCUUGUGCCUGGGACUUUUUAUUCUGUGCUUUUCUUCUGGAUAUUAAAUUUCAUAUCCACGCUU
rnacentral:lncRNA from 10 species